rnacentral:rRNA from 1 species
GAUGAACGCUGGCGGCGUGCCUAAUACAUGCAAGUCGAGCGAACGGACGAGAAGCUUGCUUCUCUGAUGUUAGCGGCGGACGGGUGAGUAACACGUGGAUAACCUACCUAUAAGACUGGGAUAACUUCGGGAAACCGGAGCUAAUACCGGAUAAUAUUUUGAACCGCAUGGUUCAAAAGUGAAAGACGGUCUUGCUGUCACUUAUAGAUGGAUCCGCGCUGCAUUAGCUAGUUGGUAAGGUAACGGCUUACCAAGGCAACGAUGCAUAGCCGACCUGAGAGGGUGAUCGGCCACACUGGAACUGAGACACGGUCCAGACUCCUACGGGAGGCAGCAGUAGGGAAUCUUCCGCAAUGGGCGAAAGCCUGACGGAGCAACGCCGCGUGAGUGAUGAAGGCCUUCGGAUCGUAAAACUCUGUUAUUAGGGAAGAACAUAUGUGUAAGUAACUGUGCACAUCUGGACGGUACCUAAUCAGAAAGCCACGGCUAACUACGU